rnacentral:rRNA from 1 species
GAUGAACGCUGGCGGCGUGCCUAAUACAUGCAAGUCGAGCGAACGGACGAGAAGCUUGCUUCUCUGAUGUUAGCGGCGGACGGGUGAGUAACACGUGGAUAACCUACCUAUAAGACUGGGAUAACUUCGGGAAACCGGAGCUAAUACCGGAUAAUAUUUUGAACCGCAUGGUUCAAAAGUGAAAGACGGUCUUGCUGUCACUUAUAGAUGGAUCCGCGCUGCAUUAGCUAGUUGGUAAGGUAACGGCUUACCAAGGCAACGAUGCAUAGCCGACCUGAGAGGGGGAUGGCCAACACGGGAACUGAGACAGGGCCCGAACUCCGAGGGGAGGCAGCAGGGGGGAUUCUUCAGCAAGGGGCAAAGGCCUGAGGAAGAAACGCGGCGGGAGUGAUGAGGGUCUUGGGAUCGAAAAACUCUGUUAUGGGGGAAAAAAAUAUGUGAAAGAAACUGUGCAAAUCGGGAGGGUACCUAAUAAGAAAACCACGAAAAACAACGUC